rnacentral:rRNA from 1 species
CCUACGGGAGGCAGCAGUGGGGAAUAUUGGACAAUGGGGGCAACCCUGAUCCAGCAAUUCUGUGUGCACGAUGAAGGUCUUCGGAUUGUAAAGUGCUUUCAGCAGGGAAGAAAAAAAUGACGGUACCUGCAGAAGAAGCGACGGCUAAAUACGUGCCAGCAGCCGCGGUAAUACGUAUGUCGCGAGCGUUAUCCGGAAUUAUUGGGCAUAAAGGGCAUCUAGGCGGCCGGAUAAGUCUGGGGUGAAAACUUGCGGCUCAACCGCAAGCCUGCCCUGGAAACUAUGCGGCUAGAGUACUGGAGAGGUGGACGGAACUGCACGAGUAGAGGUGAAAUUCGUAGAUAUGUGCAGGAAUGCCGAUGAUGAAGAUAGUUCACUGGACGGUAACUGACGCUGAAGUGCGAAAGCUAGGGGAGCAAACAGGAUUAGAUACCCUGGUAGUCCUAGCUGUAAACGAUGAUUACUGGGUGUGGGCAUGAAGAGUGUCCGUGCCGAAGCUAAUGCGAUAAGUAAUCCGCCUGGGGAGUACGACCGCAAGGUUGAAACUCAAAGGAAUUGACGG